rnacentral:rRNA from 1 species
UACGAGUGGCCCAAGCGUUAUCCGGAAUUAUUGGGCGUAAAGGAUGUGUAGGUGGUUGUAUUAGUCGGGUGUGAAAUCCCCAGGCUUAACCUGGGAACUGCAUUCGAGACUGCAUUGCUAGAGUAUGGGAGAGGGAAGUGGAAUUUCCGGUGUAGCGGUGAAAUGCGUAGAUAUCGGAAGGAACAUCAGUGGCGAAAGCGACUUCCUGGACCAAUACUGACGCUCAUGUGCGAAAGCGUGGGGAGCAAACAGG